GAUGAAGAACGUAGCGAAAUGCGAUAAGUAAUGUGAAUUGCAGAAUUCAGUGAAUCAUCGAAUCUUUGAACGCACAUUGCGCCCGCCAGUAUUCUGGCGGGCAUGCCUGUCUGAGCGUCAUUUCAACCCUCAAGCAACUUCUGCUUGGUGUUGGGGAUCGGCCGUCAAACGCCGCCCCCGAAAUCUAUUGGCGAUCUCGCUGUAGCUUCCUAUGCGUAGUAGUAACACCUCGCGACUGGAGAGCGGCGCGGCCACGCCGUAAAACACCCAACUCUUCUGAAGUUGACCUCGAAUCAGGUAGGAAUACCCGCUGAACUUAAGCAUAUCAAUAAGCGGAGGA
rnacentral:misc_RNA from 1 species